rnacentral:rRNA from 1 species
GAUGAACGCUGGCGGCGUGCUUAACACAUGCAAGUCGAGCGAUGAAGUUUCCUUCGGGAAACGGAUUAGCGGCGGACGGGUGAGUAACACGUGGGUAACCUGCCUCGUAGAGUGGAAUAGCCUUCCGAAAGGAAGAUUAAUACCGCAUAACGUUGAAAGAUGGCAUCAUCAUUCAACCAAAGGAGCAAUCCGCUAUGAGAUGGACCCGCGGCGCAUUAGCUAGUUGGUGAGGUAACGGCUCACCAAGGCGACGAUACAUAGCCGACCUGAGAGGGUGAACGGCCACACUGGGACUGAGACACGGCCCGG